rnacentral:rRNA from 1 species
GGUGAACGCUGGCGGCGUGCCUAAGACAUGCAAGUCGAGCGGGCCGCGGGGUUUUACUCCGUGGUCAGCGGCGGACGGGUGAGUAACGCGUGGGUGACCUACCCGGAAGAGGGGGACAACCCGGGGAAACUCGGGCUAAUCCCCCAUGUGGACCCGCCCCUUGGGGUGUGUCCAAAGGGCUUUGCCCGCUUCCGGAUGGGCCCGCGUCCCAUCAGCUAGUUGGUGGGGUAAUGGCCCACCAAGGCGACGACGGGUAGCCGGCCUGAGAGGGUGGCCGGCCACAGGGGCACUGAGACACGGGCCCCACUCCUGCGGGAGGCAGCAGUUAGGAAUCUUCCGCAAUGGGCGCAAGCCUGACGGAGCGACGCCGCUUGGAGGAAGAAGCCCUUCGGGGUGUAAACUCCUGAACCCGGGACGAAACCCCCGACGAGGGGACUGACGGUACCGGGGUAAUAGCGCCGGCCAACUCCGUG